UACGUAGGGACCAAGCGUUGUCCGGAAUCAUUGGGCGUAAAGAGCGUGUAGGCGGCUUGUUAAGUCUUGCGUGAAAUCUCGGGGCUCAACCCCGAGCGGUCGUGAGAAACUGGCAGGCUAGAGUGCGGGAGAGGAGAGUGGAAUUCCAGGUGUAGCGGUGAAAUGCGUAGAUAUCUGGAGGAACACCGGUGGCGAAGGCGGCAUCCUGGACCGGUAUUGACGCUGAGGCGCGAAAGCCAGGGGAGCAAACGGG
rnacentral:rRNA from 1 species